rnacentral:lncRNA from 1 species
GUUCCCCCCGUCGAGCCCCGCGGCUGCGAGGGCUGUGGUCCGGCCGCAGCGCCGGGGCUCGGAGCCGGUCUGUGGGAAGGGGAGGAGGAGGAGGAGGAGGAAGGGGAGGGAGGGGCGGCCCCGCUCGGGGAUGCUCGGGCCGGCGGCAGGAGCUGCGGGGACGCUGCCGGCCGGAGCCCGGGGCAGGCUCGGGCUGGGGCUCGGGCACCCCGGCCAUGCCGGCUGCUCCCUCCCGGCGCCUUGCCCGGGGCACGGGCACCCCUUGGCGUCGGCAAUUCCCCGCUGCGGGCUCCUCCAGCGCUGUCUCCAGCUGCAGCCGUCCCUCCUGCGCUGGGACCGGGGAACCCCCGGGUCCUGCCCCGGCCUCCUCGGGCUUCAGGGAUCCAGGUUCCCCGGAGCGGGCAGACCAGCAGCCGCCGCAGGACACGCACUUCACCUCGCUUUCCCCGAAUCUCCCGUGGAUGCUCCUGCUCCAGCAGCUGCUCCCUCCCCGUCUUCCCUGCUCCAGCUCCCGCUAAAGCCAAUACUCGUGUAGCCCCGGGGCGGCACCAGGGUGCAGUGGGGAUGUCCUGGCUGCCCUGCCCCGGGGAGAUCCAGGCUCCGUGGCUCCUGGCGGCAGUGAGGGCAGCAGCAAAAGCUGAGAAAAGAGCGGCUGUGGUGGAUGUAACCUCCAAUCCAGAUGGCUCAUCCAGUACCCCAUCCCCAGCAGCUCCAGUUGCCUGGGACAGAGCAGGACUAGAAUUCCUACUGGGAAUUUCUUGUGAUACCGUUUCUCCAUGCAUGGUGGUUUUCCUCUUGUUCUGCCUCAUGAUGCAGGUUUGUUGUGGCAGCAGUGCCCAGGUCUCAAGGCUGGCUCAGCAAGGAGAAUUUUAAGCCAGGUAAGUGCCAAGGGCUUUCCCUUUUGCUUUCUGUGUGCCUUAGACUCGUUUCCAAACCUUUUUCUGUAGCUGGAGAGGUGAGAACACCUUGCCGCUGAGUGUGAGCCAAGAUCCAGACCCCGGGAGCCAAGGGAUUCAUAAAACCAUCGUGCAGUGCAACAACCUCAAUAAAUGGUAAAAAUCUGGUCA